rnacentral:rRNA from 1 species
AGUGAACGCUGGCGGUAGGCCUAACACAUGCAAGUCGAACGGCAGCACAGUAAGAGCUUGCUCUUACGGGUGGCGAGUGGCGGACGGGUGAGGAAUACAUCGGAAUCUACUUUUUCGGGGGGGAUAACGUAGGGAAACUUACGCUAAUACCGCAUACGACCUACGGGUGAAAGCAGGGGAUCUUCGGACCUUGCGCGAUUGAAUGAGCCGAUGUCGGAUUAGCUAGUUGGCGGGGUAAAGGCCCACCAAGGCGACGAUCCGUAGCUGGUCUGAGAGGAUGAUCAGCCACACUGGAACUGAGACACGGUCCAGACUCCGACGGGAGGCAGCAGUGGGGAAUAUUGGACAAUGGGCGCAAGCCUGAUCCAGCCAUACCGCGUGGGUGAAGAAGGCCUUCGGGUUGUAAAGCCCUUUUGUUGGGAAAGAAAAGCAGCAGGUUAAUACCCCGCUGUUCUGACGGUACCCAAAGAAUAAGCACCGGCUAACUUCGUG